GUCCGACUACUCGGAAUACUAGACUUUAUUCACACAGCGCGAACCACACUGUGGUCAGGAACAUUUUUGGUUAUAAGUGAAAUAUCUACCAAAGAUUUACCAUCUACAAGAUGAAGAUGAGAACACAAGCGGGCUUGCUCGCUGCCUGCGCUGGCAUUGUCAUUUGCGUUGCACAGGCCGACGAAUUAUCAGAGAAGUGCGACUUCUCUGACCUCGACUUGGAGACAAUGGUCGACAACAUUGUGCGGCGGCUGCCCCCGUCGUACUCAACACCAGGGCAAAAACCGGAAGAAAUCGUACUCGGAAUAACCAUGGGCCCUCCUGUGCUGAAAGGCUUGGAUAAUUUCGAACCUUAUGGUCCAUUGUUCAGCUAUUGCCGAAAGGGCGCCAAGCUCGUCCAAUUAGACCUCAUCACUUAUCGCCUCAUGGAGCUCUCCGCGGCUUGGAAAACGUGCGAUGGAAAGGAGGGAGUCAUUGGAACUUACGGAACUGCCAGAGUUACGGUGACUUUCGAGGUGGUCAACGGGACUGGCGAAAAUAAUUUCCAGGAUAAAGGAAAGAAGCUGGUUCUUCACAGUGACCCGAAUCCUGUUGAAGUCAGUCUCAUUAGCGUGUACAUUCGAGGGGCAGGAGAACUGUUGAGUAACGUUGUAACAGCAUCUAGGUUAUUUCUGCCUAAGUUGCCCACGGAGUUAUUAACUAACGAAGUUACAUUUCGAUUCCGGGAGAUACUCAAGGAUUUAACUGAACGGCCUUGACAGGCUGCUUAGGCAGAACGUAGUCAGCGCCAUUCAUGGCUUGCGGGCAGUCUAGGCUACAGCUUAGAUCAAAUACGAUGUAUUGAAAUACAGCAAACUAAUUCGACUCUGCACUACGAAAUAUUUUCAAUUAUGGCGCCCGUCUUAAUAAAUGACUCCUUUUUUUGUGUAUGUCUCGCAUCGAUUUCUCGCAUGUUGUUUCCUUCCUCUGUGGGGUAUACUUAGGCCCAAUGUGAGUAGUAGUCAGACUCCGAAGAGACGAGCACCUCGUGUGUUUAGGUCAUUCAUUUCUCGUGAAAAAAAAAUGAACAUCUAAUUCUAAAAGUCUAUUGCUAACCCAAUUUUUUUCUAUAGUCUAUAUGUACCGGUGCCUAUUUCAAUAUUCAGGCGGGUAUAGCUUACCAACAGCCUCAAGCAAAGUAACUUUCUCUAGCUCAUUAAUAAAACCUAUUUUAUUUCCCAGCUCAUGUUGAAUUGUAGAAGAGAAAAAGUGGUUCUCCCGUGGUUCAAUACAGUUUCCUACCUGCAUUUGCACAGGCCUAUUUCUACAUUGCAAAUGCGAACAAAAAAGCUGUUGUGAAGGAAACAAUGCUACACGGAAUAGUUUUGGUAAAGAAUCUCUCUUGCACCGACCUCCUGCUGUACCGGGAUUUGGGUACACAGAAUUGCUUUGUAAACAUUCAUCCCCUCUUAUCGUAAUUAAUAGGCUAGAAGUGCAGACACGGAUUGCGAUUUGUUGGCAACCCUGCUUGUCUUUUUCUAAUGUGUUAUGAAGCAUAUCUGUGCGAAACAGCCGUACUCUUAAAUAAGCGCGGGCGACGAAACAGUAGUAAACCACAAACGCAAAGAGGAAAUUGUAGCCUAUAGAAGAUGUGAUGACUUCUGUGAGAAAUGAAUAGCUUUAGCGUGUUUUUUUUAAACAGUAACAAUUGAAGUGAGUAUUUGCUGAAUGCCUAUAGUCUGCACUCAAUGUUCAAGAAGAAAAUGAUAGAAUGUUAGCUGGUUCAAUAUAUUUCAGUUAGUGUGCCAACCAACAAAAUAACUAGAGUGAGAUGUUUUAGUAAACUCAUUUCACUUGUUUUAGUUUGCAAUGCUAGUAGCACGGAGUUUCGAUAAAAUUUCUCAGUGGCAGCUGCUUCAUCAUACUCGAAAGUUCCAACUUUUUCAAUUUGCUGGCUUAAAAAGGAUUGCUGUGAUGAGUAUUAGGAUACUUUACGCACAUUUUGGUUUAUAUGCAUUGAAUCACUUUGCCGCCAAUUUGGGUAACGCGGUAGGCCGUAAUGGGUAUGUGCUGCCCCUGCUUGAUGUAAAAUUGAGUUUACGCGGAUAUAUGCGACAAGGUGGCGCGCUGACUGACUCGGAAUAGAAGCAGGGAACCUUUAGCAUUUACAAUACUGCGCGCGAGUUUCACAUGCGAUGUGGCUGAAUAAAGGCAACCUGGCAUGCCUACACCGAACUCGACUGAACGUCGCAAACAAUAAAGACUUUUUGCUUACUGAAUCUACUAAGGUCGCCAUUGUACACUGUGGGCCACUCUAAAGCUUGUGUAUGCCCUCGAAUAAAGUUAGU